rnacentral:snoRNA from 1 species
GUAGCAUAAGAAUAAAAGUGCAAUAGUGGUUCAAACACAGGUGCGAACAGCAAAGGCUACCUCAUCAUCUUUGGAGGACUUUCUGUGCCCUUCAGAGUGAAUUUAGAGGUUCUAGACAC